CAACGUGUAGCUCAAGGUGACUCGGGAGCCAGGCCCAAUACUGCCUAUAAAGCACCAUCCUGAGGUUUAUCCAGCUGCUUUGUAAGUGGAAAACAAACUCCACAAAACCCUAUGCUAGCUCUCGGCAGGAACCAGCUGGGUCAGUGUGCGUUUGCACGCAAAGCUGUCCGCAGCCCGCACUGACCCAGAAAGCCAGGGACCUGGCGAUUCAUAAAGACUCUUCCCGGUAAGGUCGUCAGUACCAGCACUGUAAGGCUUCAGUUCGUUCCCCCAACAGCCUGCAAUGUCUUCCACCGGCUGGGAGACAGCACAGGGCCAGACAUGGAGACCUUCCAGGGCUGACUUUACAGGCUGGGGGCAGUUUCCCCUGGUCUGGACGAAGGAGGGAGGCCAGAGGAAUCAGCUGCUUCUUGAGGGGCCGGAUGGCUGGGUCCCAACUCCACUCCAGUCUGACUGCCAGGGAUGGAGCGUUGCUGUUUCCUGCCCGAAGAUGGGAGUAAAGUACAUUCUAGCAGGUGGGGCGUGAGGUACGAAGCAUUCUAAGCCAGUGUGUCUUAAAAUGUGGACUGGGAGCCUCAAGGAACACUACACUACGCAGUCUCUGGCUAAUGGGAAAGGGACAGAGGUGGACCUCAUUCAUGCCAGCCUCAAGCUAAGUGGCAUCGGUUUCGAGGAUGAACAGACUCCACGGGGCGCGAGCGGAGAACAGCGGAGACGAGCAGUCACUGCACGACACGUACUUCGAUAGCAGUUGCUGCGGCAGCUUAUUCGCGUGGGGAGUACAUAUCGGCUUCAGUAAAACAAAGCCAGUUGGGGGCGCCUGGGUGGCUCAGUCGGUUAAGU